ACUACUUCCGGGUUGCUGAAAUCGACCUAAAUAAAUACUGACUGUAGGCAUGCUAAAGGAAGCAUUCUUACACGUUCCAUGACACAAUAAUCUAUUUUAAAAGCUUCCAAACUCGGCAAGGGAACACCGGAGCCAUUCAGAUGAAAACAGCAGACCAGAUCCAUGAUGGCUGAGAAACUGUCGGAAAUUGUGACUUUCCUGAGAGGUCGAGGUACAUCAGAGGAAACAAUCAAUUGGAUUGAAGAGCAAAAGGUACUGCUAUGAGUACAAGAUGAACUGGUUAAUUAGGCUAGUUAGUUUCUGAGUUUCCUUGUGCAACCCUGAAAGGGAUCUUCAGAAUUACAUUUUCUUGGCCGUAAUUAGUAACCAAGAUAUUUGAUAGAAUGCAGGUUAAAUCUUCUCAGAACAAUUUAUGCAUGUCUUCUCAUCCUCCUUUUUUCAUUUUCGCUGUAUACCUUCUUUAAUAGCUCUUAUCAUGUAGGUACCCUAACCCAACAAGAUAAAUGGUGCCCCGUGUGAGGUGUAGUACUGUUGAUUAUGAUUCAUAAUUGUACGAUAUUAAUAUUUCAGCAUAUUUUUGGCCAAUAUAAAAAAAUCUGAUUUCAGUCUAAAUUUUCCAAAAAGUCUAUACCACUAGUCUGCAACCACACAGGACUUAAAGUAGUCCGGCACCGUGCCGGAUCUCCGGCGUGUGGUGUUUGACUGCGAUUCAUAAAAAAAAAAAAAAAAAGUAAACAUUGAAAAGAAACCUGUUGAUGCGGGGUAUUGUCAAGCCCCUCCCUCAAACCGCUACUGUCCAAUCCUACGUUAGCAAUCGUAACUAUGCACACGCAAUGGCAUGCAUAGUUAUGGUUGUUGUGACCAUGGAUGUACUCAGAAGGUUGUGACAGACAUAGCAACAGUAACCACGGGGGGCCAGCAGCAGUUGUUGCUGCGUUCCAGACAACUCAGGAAAAAACAGGCUGUGAAUUGUGGAAAAUGAAUUGAACAGCGUCAAACUUGAAAAUUACACGUAUAUCCAUCUUCUUCCAAAAUAAGCAUUGCUGCUGCAUAGGUUUUCAGUGUUCAGCGGAUAGUGACAAUAUGCCACACUUCAUUCUUCUCCUCCGACUUAACCUGUAGCGUGUACACUAUGACCUCUCGGUUACCUCUGAGUGGUCUUGAACGCAGCAUCCAGGCCGGCGUUUGUUUCACCGAAAUCCAAAGAUGGAGGGGAAAUUCAUGAAGCCAGGGGAAGACGUCCUAACUGAAAAAGGACUUAAAAAUAAAUGGCGCUGGCUGUGGAUAGAAGAAAGGGGUGGAGACAGCAAGCCUUUUGGUAGCUGGUGCCAAAAAUUAAGAGACCCAGGUGCUUGUUUCUGUGUGUUGUGCGUAGGGCUUUGACUUUUGGACAAAAAUCAUAUUCGAAGUUUGUUUGUUUAUUAAUAUUAAUAUUCGAAUAUAUUCAAAUAUUUAUUACUAAUAUUUUGAC